rnacentral:tmRNA from 1 species
GGGGGCGUACUGGGUUCGACGAAGGUACAAGAAGCAACGACUGCAUGUCGGGGGUCCACCUUCCGUAAACGGUGGAAACAAACACAAACGCCAACAACGAUCUGGCACUGGCUGCUUA